CUAGCGGUUGGCGUCCUUAUUGGUGCAUUACUGCCCUCUUCUGGAGUUAAUUAGCUCAUCAUGGCGUUCAACUUCUUUCCAGAUUCUUCCAUUUCACCAAUGAUCUGCACCAUCAUGUGAAUGUUUGGGAGCAACUGAAGAACAGGGAUAACCAAUCAUAUGGGCUCAAUUUACAAUUACACUUAUAAAACCUUAAACUCUUAGAUAGGUGCAAAGCAGUGCACCCAUGGGAGUUAAAAGCCUUCGAUUUAGUUUUUUAAGUAUCCUUUAAGCUACUAUAUGGAAUAUCCCAGGUGCUUGCAGCCUCAGCAUCAGAAUGAUCUUCAUCCCUGUCUGCAUCCUCCUCUCUGACAUUGUGUUCAAAGAGUCCAGCUCCAUCCCUACAGUGUCACUGGCCUUGUGGAUCAGUCCAUCAGUGUUGAGUUUAAUAGCAUCGGCCAUUCUCAGCAUGCUGCCCUAGCAUGCAGCGGCAUACAAGAGCGCCUGCCCGGCAGGUGUUAAAGGACUUCAGUCUCCUCAGAAAGUAAAGAUGACUUUGGAACCUUCCUGGAGAGGCCCUCGGUUCUUCGGCCAGUCCAGUUCAUUGUCUAUGUGCACUCCCAGACACCUAUAAUCUUCAACCAUGUCCACAUGGGUCUUCUGGAUGGUAAUAGGGGUCGCUGGAGCUUUUUUCCUCCUCAUGUCUACAACCAGCUCCGUUGUCUUUGUCACAUCCAGCUGCAGGAAGUUGUCCUGGCACCACCACAGUUCUGUACUCAGCCUCCUCACCAUCACUGAUACGUCCCACUGCUGCAGAGUCAUCACAAACCUUCUGAAAAUGGCAGGACUCGGGACGUCUGGUAGUUGAGGUCCAUGGUUUAGAGAUGGUGAAGAGAAAGGGGGAGAGGGCUGUCACCUGGAACCCUAGUGAUACUGACCAUCCUGUCUGACACACAGCAUUGCAGCCACACAUACUGUGGUCUUCCAGGUCUUCCAGCAUGGUAGUGAAACACAUGCUUGCCUCUCUUAUGCAGUGGUGUGGAAUAAAUUUACAACUACAAUAGUUAAAUGAUGCUUGCGUCUGUUAUCAUAAUCCAAUAGUAUAACAUACACAAUCAAAAAACUCACUGAGUGAAUUUUGGUGUGGAAUUAAUACUGUUGCGGGUCGUGGGGAGAGAGUUAAGAGUCCCUGACAUCAGUGGCAGAGGCAAGGACCUUGAACAAACUUCGGUUCAUCAUGAACAAUGUCCACCACCCUCUACACAACACCAUAAUCAGGCACCGAAGCUUGUUCAAUGACAGGCUGCUGUCUCUGUCCUGCUCCACAGACAGGUUGAGGAGGUUGUUCUAACUCUAAGCCACCUCACACUGUGUGAGGAACCAACUGGACUGUGGUCAUUGUUGUCAAUACUGUUUAUUUUUUAAAGAACAUCAUAUAAUGUAAUUAUUAUAUAACGUAUCUCUUUAUAUCUGUUUCUAUGUGAUGAAACCACUGGACACCGAAUUUCCCACAGGAUAAAUCUGUCUAAAGAAUAAUUAAAAAAAUGUUUAAUUAUAUGAUUGACGAAAUAAAGGGCUCAUUAAAAGGGUGAUGAUACAAAAUAACAAAAGAACCACAAGAACUACUGGGUGCCACAUUAUUUGCUAAACGACAGCUUGACACAAAUUGACACACUGAUCUUCCAAACAACACCAGAUCGGUCAGGCACGUGUUUCGUUUGGCAAUAAUCUUUGAGGAUGUUACCAUAAAAAUGAAUGAAAAUGGUCUAUUGUUUUCACUAAGCAAUACUGACAAAAAGUCAUAUACAUUGAAAUUAACCCUAUCAUCUGUUCAGACAAAGACGAGUACACAAAUACAGUACUUAACGUUCUUUUUUAUUUCAAUGGCCGACACAUAAAACCAAUGUUUCCAUGGAUGUUUCCAUCACCUGCCACCCCAAAUGUAACAGUUUGCUACCACAAAUGCUCAUAUGGUACAGCUGUUCCCAGGUGUACAAAGAGAUGAUAACAUUUUAAGUCUGUUUUGAGUAAAUACUUCCCACGUUACUGAGAUAAGCCUCCGGGUCUCCCUCACAAAUGAUGGAAGUUUUGUUAUACUUAGCUGAAAAGUUAAGAUGUUAGCUUUCUGCUACCUGUGCAUGUUAAAAUAAAUAAGGGGAGACUGCAGAUAUUCUUUCCAGCUCAAUAAUGUGUUCAAGCAGUAAAAGACAAAACAAACGUUUGUAAUGUUGAAUCCUCUACAUGAGUUUUAAAUGUGCCAUUGCAGAUGUGUUAAAAUUUCGCAAUAAACCUGUGACACAUAAAGCUACUGCACACUGGAAGCUAAACCAAUAGAAAUUAACCCUUUAAGUUUUAGAAAAUUAAAGUUUAUCGUGACGCAAUACUUCCAACUCUUACUCUCAAUUUUAGUCAAUAAUAGUCAAUAAUCUCUCCGAGUCAGUGUAAGUGAGCUGAUCAUGAAACUCAAGCAGGAACCUGAGUAUCUGUAAAAAGAAUAUAAGCACCCCCACUCUGCUUGGAGACAGCUUGACACAAAUGACACGCUGAUCUUCCAAACAACACCAGACCAUUCAGGCACAUGUUUCGUUUGGCAAGAUAGACCUAAAUGUUUCAAAUCAUUCCCUUUCUUACAGUAUAUCCACAGAAAACUGCCUUUUUCCCUGCUGCCUUCUGUGGUGUCUUUGUAAUGGGGUUAAAUUAGAAAAAGACAAAAACUGGUUAACAUAAAAUGAAGUCUUUAUCAUGUACACUUCUUGUACAAAGAGUGCAAAGGCAUUUUAUAGGUCAGACAGAGCGUUUCUGAGAUGAAUGGGGGCAGAUGGGCUUCACUUUAUCGCACCUCAAAAACAACCAGAGAUAAACAUCAAACAAGCAAAUAUCAAAUUGACUAUAUGGGCCAAAUUUACAAAAAACAUUGAGGUUAUAA